rnacentral:rRNA from 1 species
GACGAACGCUGGCGGCGUGCUUAACACAUGCAAGUCGAACGGAAAGGCCCUGCUUUUGUGGGGUGCUCGAGUGGCGAACGGGUGAGUAACACGUGAGUAACCUGCCCUUGACUUUGGGAUAACUUCAGGAAACUGGGGCUAAUACCGGAUAGGAGCUCCUGCUGCAUGGUGGGGGUUGGAAAGUUUCGGCGGUUGGGGAUGGACUCGCGGCUUAUCAGCUUGUUGGUGGGGUAGUGGCUUACCAAGGCUUUGACGGGUAGCCGGCCUGAGAGGGUGACCGGCCACAUUGGGACUGAGAUACGGCCCAGACUCCUACGGGAGGCAGCAGUGGGGAAUAUUGCACAAUGGGCGGAAGCCUGAUGCAGCAACGCCGCGUGCGGGAUGACGGCCUUCGGGUUGUAAACCGCUUUCGCCUGUGACGAAGCGUGAGUGACGGUAAUGGGUAAAGAAGCACCGGCUAACUACGUGCCAGCAGCCGCGGUGAUACGUAGGGUGCGAGCGUUGUCCGGAUUUAUUGGGCGUAAAGGGCUCGUAGGUGGUUGAUCGCGUCGGAAGUGUAAUCUUGGGGCUUAACCCUGAGCGUGCUUUCGAUACGGGUUGACUUGAGGAAGGUAGGGGAGAAUGGAAUUCCUGGUGGAGCGGUGGAAUGCGCAGAUAUCAGGAGGAACACCAGUGGCGAAGGCGGUUCUCUGGGCCUUUCCUGACGCUGAGGAGCGAAAGCGUGGGGAGCGAACAGGCUUAGAUACCCUGGUAGUCCACGCUGUAAACGGUGGGUACUAGGUGUGGGGUCCAUUCCACGGGUUCCGUGCCGUAGCUAACGCUUUAAGUACCCCGCCUGGGGAGUACGGCCGCAAGGCUAAAACUCAAAGGAAUUGACGGGGCCCCGCACAAGCGGCGGAGCAUGCGGAUUAAUUCGAUGCAACGCGUAGAACCUUACCUGGGUUUGACAUGGAUCGGGAGCGCUCAGAGAUGGGUGUGCCUCUUUUGGGGUCGGUUCACAGGUGGUGCAUGGCUGUCGUCAGCUCGUGUCGUGAGAUGUUGGGUUAAGUCCCGCAACGAGCGCAACCCUUGUUCACUGUUGCCAGCACGUUAUGGUGGGGACUCAGUGGAGACCGCCGGGGUCAACUCGGAGGAAGGUGGGGAUGACGUCAAGUCAUCAUGCCCCUUAUGUCCAGGGCUUCACGCAUGCUACAAUGGCUGGUACAGAGAGUGGCGAGCCUGUGAGGGUGAGCGAAUCUCGGAAAGCCGGUCUCAGUUCGGAUUGGGGUCUGCUACUCGACCUCAUGAAGUCGGAGUCGCUAGUAAUCGCAGAUCAGCAACGCUGCGGUGAAUACGUUCCCGGG